GGUUCCUCGGCCACCAUGUCACACACGUACUCGAUGUACCUGCGGGGGCCGGAGGCACACCUCGUCCCACACGUGCUCGCCACACGUGCUGCACCCCCGGGCUCUGGUCUGCUCGCCACACUUUUUUCCAACAGAUACGAUUGCUGGGUAGAAGGUUCUCGAGAGAUCAUCCAGCUGGUUGCCGGCGACGUUCCGUUCCAAACCGACCAUCCGUGUACUAGUUCCAUCCGCUGCCGAGGUGGGAACGCCGAUGCCACGGUGAACACCCAUCUCCGUCAACGGGUUUUCGGCUCUGCGAGCUCGAUUCCUGCUCUCAGGACACUCGCGCCUCCAACUCUCCCGGGUGGUUUUCUCGGUGCCCCCGAGGUGCACACACCAGGCGCGUGUCCCUGCCCUCGUGUGACCCCGUCCCCUCGAGAUGGGGAAGGAGUGGUGACUGGCUUCCCGGCAGAGGGAGAGAAGGGAGGCCGCUUCUGAACGCGAGGCUCACACUGCAUUGCGCUAGCAUAUCUGUGCAGGGGACUCGUCCCCGCGCCACAGGAGACCCGGACGCCCACACCACAUCUCCGUCCACACGAGUGAGUCCCGUCAACACCCUGAGCGAGCUUGGACACGGGCUGGAGGAGGAAGCAGCAGACGUUCUCUGCGAGGUUCGUGCCACAGCACAGCCUGGCCGCACCCCGACGGCAGACUUGGGAGGUGCAAGCCGGGCCGGGACCCCCUGACCUGCAGAGGCAGAGGGCGCGUGCGGACGGCUGAAGCCGCCGGGCCGGUGGCGAGGAAUCAGGCGGCAGCUGUACGGCCGCCCUUCCCUGUCCUGACGGCAGAGGCGGAGCCCCCGCAGCCAGUGCAUCGCUGGUCCUGCUUGUAUCCGGUCAGACAGUCCCCGAGGCCGGCACACGCAGAUCCUUCACGCUUGGCUCCUGCUGCGGCCGUGUUCCAGUCACCAUCUUGCUGGCUGCUCUCUGUUCUUGACUUCUUCUUCGUUGGUCUUUUCUUGAGGCGAGUGAGCAUUUUUUCUAAUCCAUUUAUUCCCUCUGCUGACCUGCUGACUCCAGUUUGUGAAACCGUCUGUCCCGGCUGCCCCGGGCGUCCGACAAGGACAGCAGCGUGGUCUGUGCCUUCUCCCUCUGGUGACCUCGAGACCUCGAGACCUCUGCGUGUGGUCUCCAGCGGACGGGGCGUGCUGAGCCUGAGUCGGCUUCCCGCCUGCCUGUUUUGCAUCCUCUGACCUCUGGACGUUUGGCGACUCAUUAAUUCGGGGAACUUCUCGGCUACUGCUUCUGCACGUUGCCUUCCUGCUCUGCCUCCUGCAGCCACUCGACACGGCCUGGCAGGCCCGGCUGCUCAGGUCUGUCUUUGGGCUCUGGCCUCCGUGACGCCACCUGUCCUGCCUUCCAGAGGCCGAGGCUCCUCCCUCAGCUGCCAGGACACAGCCUUUCUCAGGUCCAGAACUUGCGUUCGACUUCUUCUCACAGUUCCCAUCUCUGAAGUGACCACGUACUCCUGUGUCUUACCCAUCUCCUUCCUCGGUACUCUCAACACAUUAAACACUUGCUUUAAAUUCCCGUCAGAUACUUUCGGGCCUUGUCCCGAAGCCACUCAGACUCCCGCCUGUCCCACAGGGGGACGCCCUGUGUCCCUGCGGAAGCCAGCCAAGAUUCAGGAGGGCACAGGCUCCCCCAGCUUGUGUGGCCUUGCCCACUUCUGCACAAGGGCCCUCAAGUCUCCCCACCUCUCAACACCCUUGGCUACGACCUGCCCGAGGGUGACACCUGUACGACACCCCCAAGGUGGGACACCGGUACCUUUUGUGAGAUGGCCAGAUGCCUGGCGGGCAGCGCUUCAUGCUGAACAUGUACACGGCGGCCUCUGCGGUGCUGAAGAGCCGGCAGAAGCACAGGAAGGAGCAGACGGCCACAGCAGAGGCAGCUCUCCCGUCCUAGGACAAGCGGCACAGGCCAGGCUCGUGCGGCCGCAGCUGCAGGAAGGCAGGCUCCCUAAUCCCACACUUCCCCGCGGAACCACCACAGGGCCUCCCCCUGGCUGGGGACGUAGGAAGACACCCCUGCUGGGGCAAGAACUCAGAAUCCAGAAAGAUAGGGGCUCUUUACCAAGAAGCACAUGAUGGCCUGCCCCUCCAGCUGGACACUGCUCACCACCACGGUCCCCAAGCGGCCUCACGCUCACCGCCACCCCUCUGUACUCGCUCUCUUCAUCAUGCCUCCUGGGAGGACCUUUAUCAACACCAGAAUCGCAGCACUAACCUCUGGGGCCCAUUGUGGCAAGCAUCCCGCUUUCCGUGACACCCAAAAACCUAACCCUCACUGUGCAGGUGGGAAACUGGAAAUUACUGUCCUCAGCCACGGUAAAGAGGGGCAGAGACGGGGGUCCUAUGAAGCAGAGUGGCCUCAGGGCACAGGGAGAUGACAGAGUGACACACGGAGAGACCCCUCAUGUUCUGUAAAGAAGGGUAUGGGGACCACCUGUGUGGGCUCACUGCCCAUGCGCGACAGUCGGCCACCGCUCCCUCCAGGGUCUACCUUGAAACGACAGGGACCGUGCCAGGGCACCCGGGCCUGGGGCCACCGGCUGCAGACACCAGGACAGAACCCGCUCCUCACACGACCUGCCCCAAGUCCCAGUGCUAGCCCAGGACAUCCCAAACAGACCCUGGCUUUCAGAAAGCCAACAGGCAGCUGACGUUUGGUAGCACACUCGACACUGGACAAGGAGGCUUCCCCCCACGAGUGGUCACUGCAGGUGACCCACGUCCUGCCAGGGCUGGGCCGUUACUGGUUAAGGCCUGUAAUUGUGCAGCGGAAAACAGCGCCCUGCCUGGACCUCAGCUCAGCUCAUCUUCAUCGGCAUUCAGGACACCCAGCCGCCCCACCGGCCCCCCCUGCUCGGCAUUCUGGACUUCACUCCUGCUCUCUGUCCCCUCAACGGGUCGUGAGCUUCCCCAAAGCAGGGAUUACUCCCCCUGGUUUAUGUUUUCUUCUUUCUCUUCUUCUUGCCAACAUCAAGGGCAGGGAUGAGGCAGCCUCCCACUCACCACACAAUGCACAACACAGACGUUCUUGUGGUCCUGCCUGAGCCACGAGUGCAUGUUCUUGCAAACGCUGUACAGGCUGCGAAGGUUCGGGGCCCGCCGGGCCGCCCAGCCACACUCGGAAACCUAUGGGCAGAGGGCUCGGUUCGGCCUGGGUUCCCCGCACCAGUUGGGGGCACAAGCACAGGGAGCCCCACCACGGGUGCCCACUCUGGACAAACGCUGCCUCACGCACACCUCCCUCCCUCCCUUGCCCACGGACGUCUGCAGGCCUCCUGCCCCUGAGUUUUGUGCUCCAAAAUAUGUACCAAGCUUUGCAGACUUGGCAAAAAAGAACGGAGAACCUGUCCUUUCCCAUGCUCGGGUCAGGAAGCCGCACCUGUGUCCCAUGUGUGGCCUCACAUGUGCCUCACUGGCAAGGAACAGCGAGGCAUCGCUGAUUUUUAGCCAUCCUUAGGUGACCGUCACAGUUCACGUUCUGGAGUCUUCUGCGAGAAUAGCCCUGCCCCCGCAGCCCAGUGCACAUGGGCCCCGAGUCACCGUACCCCAGCCCCCCAGCGCCAGGAACCUGGGCUCCGCUGGCUGCCACAGCUGGGUGUGAGGGUCGACAGUAAGAGAACCGCACGCAGUGAAGGCAAGCGCCCAGGCGACCCACCCGGUUAUGAAACUUGGAGGGCCGAUACGUCCUUGGGGAGAGGUUGUAGACCGCAUAAUGUCCUGGGUGCUUGGAGUCCAAAAACAACCGGACGUCUUCUAUGUUGUUCUUGAUAGCCGACUCCACACCUUCUGCUGGGAAUGACAUCACUGAAAGAGAGCAGCCCACAUCAGCCACAACGGGGCGGGACACGUGGCCUGUGUGUGGCAGCCUCACCGGCCAGUGGCAAGACAGCCGGCCACCCAGGCCCCUGCUCCUCAACCGCCGCCCCCCCCUCCAGCUGCUGACUGAGGAGUACAGGGCGUGUCAAGAACGGAGGGAGCACAGACCCCCACCCCCUCCAAUGCCUGCCAUUUACAAGCAAGACCCUCUGGGAUCUCCAGACAGUGCCUCUGGGACAGAAGUUGUCAGAGGGCCUGCCACAGAGCAGCAUCUCCAAGGGUCGAGAUUUGGGUGUGGGUUUGGUCGGGAGACCCAAGUUUCAAAUGUGCCUUGCAUCAUUCCCCUUAUGACCUCAGAGUUCCAGGAAGUUCCAGACCAGGGGGAGAAACUGGGUCGACACUGGCACUGUCCACUGCAGGUGCCCCAGGCCACAUCCUGCACGCUCUGCCUGACACUGAAGCAAGGGAUAUGCUGGAGGCCAGCGUCCCACGAGUUGUCCUCAGGAGGGAAUGAGAAGCACGUCCUAUGGUCAACAGUGACAAACAUACCAGCAAUUCUGGAUGUGAUGUAAGAUAUGUCCAAGUCUCCCUUCGCGUAACUGGAAUUAGAAAGAAGAGCGCUUGGUUAAUCCCAGAAAUUUCUACAGUUAAGUCACAAGAGCUUAAACUGGAGCAGGUCCUGGAGAGGCUGUGGGGGAUCUCGCCGUUCAGGCCGCAGCUCACGGGAAACGUUGUGUGCGCAUGGGUGCAUGUAUACGUGUGAGUGUGCUCCAGCCGUGUGCAUGGAGCUGACGUCUAAGAGACGGAGAGGCAGAGACCCGGUAAAAAACUACUGCGCUUCUAUUCUGAAGAGGCGUGACUGCAGGGGCUGGCUUUAAAAGGAGACAGUAACAAAAACGGAAGAGAGUUUUUUUGGCCCAGCACAUCAUGUCUGGCUCACAAGAAAAAGUUACAAGGCCCACCAAAUGGCAAAAACACAGUUUCAAGAGACAGAGAAAACAUCAGAACCAGACACGGCAGGGACGCUGGAACUGUCAGACCAGGAACUUAACCAACUAUGACUAAUAUGCUAAGGGCUCUAACCGAUAAAGUAGACAGCACGUAAGAACAGAGAUAAAAAUUCUAAGAAAGAACCAAAAAGAAAUGCCGGAGAUACAAAACGCAGUGGCAGAAAUAACACAGGCCUUUGAUGGGCUGAUUAGGCUGAACAUGGCUGAGGAAAAAGCCUCUGAGCUAGAGGAUCUAUCAAUAGAAUCCUUAAAAAAUGAAAAGCAAAGAGAACAAAGACUGAAAAAACCCAGAACAAAAUCAACGACAACGUGGAACCACAAAAGGUGUAUCGUACAUUUAACGGGAACACCGGAAGGAGAAAAGAGAGCAGGUACAGAAGAAAGGUCUGAAACAAGGACUGAGAAUUUCCCUCAAAUCACGUCAGACACGAAACCACGAUCCAGGAAGCUCAGAGAACACCAGGCAGGAUAAAUACCGAGUCGCCUACACUCAGGCAUCUCAUCUUCAAACUGCAGAAAACCAAAGGAAAAAAACGUGGAAAGGGGACAGAGGGAUAAAACACCUUACCUGCACAGAAACAAAGACAGGAAGUGCACCUGUCCGCUCUCCAGAAGCCACGUGAGCAAGGACACAGUGAAAUAUUUAGUAUUGAGAGAAACACCCACCGGCCCAGAACUCCAUCCCCUGGGAAUCACCCUCCAGAGGUGACCCAAACACUGGGAGAAAAUGCUGCCAGGAGACCUGCCUGGAAGGAAACGCUCUUCAGAGAGAAGGAGAAUGAUUCGGUCGGAAACGGGGUCUACACAAAAGAACAAAAGAACUCCAAAGAAGUGACAGUGAAACGAACACUUUUAUGUUUCUUGCUCUUGAUGGAGUCAGGAGAAAACUGCUUGUUCGAACUCGCCACGGCAACGACAUGCCCACCUGUGCACUUGCCGCAUCGACGACUCGCAUACUCGCGUGCGUUUGUGCGGGUAAAGUGAAUGCUAGCACGAGCACAGCGAUGGGGCGCAGUGCCAUCGUGGGGUGACAGAGGGUUGGGGGGCUGGUGCGGGCUGCCUGUGUAGACGUGGGUCAGCUGUAAACAUGUACUGCGAACUCCAGAGCAACUAGUAAAAAAGCUGUUACUUUUUUUAAAAAUAAGGAUAACCGAUAUGAUAAGAAAGGAGAGAGAAAGGGACCCUAUGAAAUGCCCAGUUACAGCCACAGAAGGCCGGGCAACGAGCAGGAAAUGGAGCAGACAUGGUAGGCGCCCACCCAGGACACCAAGACUCCACGUGACUGUCAGUCAGAAGACACAGACGGUCACAGUGGACCGGACAAGACUCACAGUCCGGAGGCUGGUGUGUGCUCAGCGGAGGGUGCCCGAGAGCAGCCGCAACCCACACCCUGGGUGACAACGCUUCACCUGUGCUACAGCGGCUCGGGCGGGGAAUCAAGCACCUCCCACGUGACGCCACGGCAGAGGACUCGGGAAGCCCCGCCUCACACUUCGUGCCGGGAGCCUUUUCCCAGCGCUGAUCUGCUGACCCGCGUCCUAUCUUUGAGGAAAAUCCCAGCUGCGAGGACGACUCCGCGCCCAGUCUUGGGUGUCCUUCGGCAAACCUUCCACCCUGGGGAUGGUCCCGGGACCCUGACACGUAUCCUCUUUCUCUUGUUCUAGAAACCUUUGAUCCCGAGGACACCGGGCGAUACCCUGUUUCAUCCUCGUCUGCGCUCCGAUCUCACCAUCGCACCGGGAUGACCCCGAGCAGCCUCCCAGGCUUGUGCGCCCGCGCCCCGAGGCACAUCCGCUAACAUCCCCAGGCCGCCACCCCGAGGCACAGACCGCAUUCUGCUUGUGCGCCCGUCGGAGGUGCGCUGUUAGGGUUAUUACUUUUUGUUAAUAUUCCACUUGAGGGUGUAAGAUAGCUGCACAAACCCAGAGUCAGUCGCAACAGCAGCUAAAUCCGGAAGCGAACCACCACCACCUCUAGCCUGACACGCAACGGGGGCCCCUGGGGUGCAGCCAGUGGAGCGUGCGACUCUCGAUUUCAGCUCAAGUCGUGAUCGCACGGUUCGUGAGUUCAAGCCCCAUGUGGGCCGAUAGCAGGGAGCCUGCCUGGGCUUCUCUCCCUCUCUGCCCCUCCCCUGCUCAC